GAUGAACGCUGGCGGCGUGCCUAAUACAUGCAAGUCGAGCGAACAGACGAGGAGCUUGCUCCUCUGACGUUAGCGGCGGACGGGUGAGUAACACGUGGAUAACCUACCUAUAAGACUGGGAUAACUUCGGGAAACCGGAGCUAAUACCGGCUAACAUGUUGAACCGCAUGGUUCAACAGUGAAAGACGGUCUUGCUGUCACUUAUCGAUGGAUCCGCGCCGCAUUAGCUAGUUGGUAAGGUAACGGCUUACCAAGGCAACGAUGCGUAGCCGACCUGAGAGGGGGAUCGGCCACACGGGAAGGGAGACAUGGUCCAGGCGCCUGCGGGAGGGAGCAGUAGGGAAUCUUCCGCAAAGGGCGAAAGCCUGACGGAGCGACGCCGAGUGAGUGAAGAAGGUCUUCGGAUCGUAAAACUCUGUUAUUAGGGAAGAACAAAUGUGUAAGUAACUAUGCACGUCUUGACGGUACCUAAUCAGAAAGCCACGGCUAACUACGUG
rnacentral:rRNA from 1 species